rnacentral:rRNA from 1 species
AGCGAACGUUUGCGGCGGGCCUAACACAUGCAAGUCGAACGCACUAGCAAUAGUGAGUGGCGCACGGGUGCGUAACACGUGGGUAAUCAACCCUUCAGCCUGGGAUAACGACUCGAAAGGGUCGCUAAUACCGGAUACGGCGCGAGAGGCUUCGGCUUCUCACGAGAAAGCCACGCAAGGGGCACUGAAGGACGAGCCUGCGGCCCAUCAGCUAGUUGGUGAGGUAAGAGCUCACCAAGGCUAAGACGGGUAGCUGGUCUGAGAGGAUGAUCAGCCACACUGGAACUGAGACACGGUCCAGACUCCUACGGGAGGCAGCAGUGGGGAAUAUUGCGCAAUGGGCGAAAGCCUGACGCAGCCACGCCGCGUGAGCGAUGAAGGCCUUCGGGGUCGUAAAGCUCUGUGGGGAGAGACGAAGAAAGCCUCGUGAACCGAGCAGGCCUUGACGGUAUCUCCUUAGCAAGCACCGGCUAACUCCGUG